GACGAACGCUGGCGGCGUGCUUAACACAUGCAAGUCGAACGAAGUGGCGAACGGGUGAGUAACGCGUAAUCAACCUGCCCUUCAGAGGGGGACAACAGUUGGAAACGACUGCUAAUACCGCAUACGGAAGGAGGGGAUUGCGUCUGAUUGGCUAGUUGGAGGGGUAACGGCCCACCAAGGCGAUGAUCAGUAGCCGGUCUGAGAGGAUGGACGGCCACAUUGGGAAUGGGACACGGCCCCAGCUCCUACCGGAGGCAGUAGUGGGGGAACUUCCGAAAAUGACGGAAGGCUGGAGGAGCAACGCCGCGGGAGAGAAGACGGGCUUCGGGUUGUUAAGCUCUGUUAAUCGGGACGCGGUACCGGAAUAGGAAGCCACGGCUAACUACGUGCCAGCCGCCGCGGUAAUUC
rnacentral:rRNA from 1 species